GUCGAUUUGAUGAGCUCUCCAACAAGCCCGAUGUUCCUGCUGAUGAUUAGUCUACAAAGUAUCUAAUGGGCAAUUCUCCAUGGAGAGAAUGGUCAUUGCUCAUUGAGAGGAUGGUGAAUGGCUUUUGAUUAGAUUUUAGGGAACAGGGAUGCCUCCAAAAUGAUCCCAUUGGCUAGGACUUUGAAGAGGACAAACUCUUGUAAGAACAGGACCUCCACUGUGCCAGCAUCUAAAGGUGCAUUUCCCCUAGUCUUCGGAGAAGAGUUUUUUAUCAUGGAUGUGUACCUUCUGCUUGCAUCUCAAACAUCACUAGAUUCUCUGAGGUUUAGAGGCAGCAGGACGUUGUGGAUACAGUACUGUAUUUCCAUCGGGGAAACCUGGGUUUGAAUCCUGCCUCAGAUUCUUGGGAUUCUGGGCUAUAAAUUGAAGAGAAAGCAUCCAUCUUCAUUGACAGAGAAAGUGCUUCACCUGAAGCUUCCUUUACAUAUGAAAUCAUGAGUCUGGUCAAAAAGAAAUUGAUGGAACCAUAAACAAGAGGAUCCUCUCUGCAACUAUUGAGGGUGGGGUAUUUAUGGAAAAAAACAUCAGCCAUGUUGCCCAAGCUCUAGCUGUGUAUUUGUACUUCUCUGGUCAUGGCUAGAAUGCCGUGUGUUCUUAGUAGAAAUGGUGGUGUUUGGACUUUAUUGCUGAAUGACUUUAGAAUUCUUAACAGAAAUUUCAGGAAGCCAGAGGCUUCUAGGCAAUAUGUGGACCAUAGGGAAAGGAUCCACCAAUUUUGCUUCCACUGAUUUUUAUGGCAUAUUCAUUUGCCUGGAUUGAUCUGUAUAUAGAUUACCCUUGAAUAGAAGCUAUUUCACUUAAUUGAGAUCCAAAACUAACUAUGUUUCACUGACUUCUAAAAAUGUGGUCUGCAGUAAUAUAAUCAGCCACUUAUAAGACCAGACAAAAUAUUUGAAUACUACAUACCACCUUUUACCCUUUUCCUAGAAUUAAUAAAGAAAUCAAUGCACUUAAAAAAUAAGAUCA
rnacentral:lncRNA from 1 species